rnacentral:rRNA from 1 species
UGGAAAAGCUCAAAUUUAAAAUCUGGUGGUCCUUUUAGGCUACCCGAAUUGUAAUCUAGAGAAGUGUUAUCCGCGCUGGACCAUGUACAAGUCUCCUGGAAUGGAGCCUCAUAGAGGGUGAGAAUCCCGUCUUUGACAUGGACUACCAGGGCUUUUGUGAUGCGCUCUCAAAGAGUCGAGUUGUUUGGGAAUGCAGCUCAAAAUGGGUGGUAAAUUCCAUCUAAAGCUAAAUAUUGGCGAGAGACCGAUAGCGAACAAGUACCGUGAGGGAAAGAUGAAAAGAACUUUGAAAAGAGAGUUAAACAGUAUGUGAAAUUGUUGAAAGGGAAACGCUUGAAGUCAGUCACGUUGGCCAGGGAUCAGCCUUGCAACCUGUGUUGCUUGGUGUACUUUCUGGUAAACGGGUCAGCAUCAAUUUUGACUGGUGGAUAAAGGCCAAAGGAAUGUGGCAUCUUUUGGAUGUGUUAUAGCCUUUGGUCGUAUGCAAUCAGUUGGGAUUGAGGAACUCAGCACGCCGCAAGGGCGGGUUUUGUACCACGUUUCGUGCUUAGGAUGUUGGCAUAAUGGCUUUAAUCGACCCGUCUUGAAACACGGACCAAGGAGUCUAACAUGCCUGCAAGUGUUUGGGUGGAAAACCCGAGCGCGCAAUGAAAGUGAAAGUUGAGAUCCCUGUUGUGGGGAGCAUCGACACCCGGAUUGGACCUUUUGUGAUGGCUCCGCGGUAGAGCAUGUAUGUUGGGACCCGAAAGAUGGUGAACUAUGCCUGAAUAGGGUGAAGCCAGAGGAAACUCUGGUGGAGGCUCGUAGCGAUUCUGACGUGCAAAUCGAUCGU